rnacentral:rRNA from 1 species
UGGUCUUGACAUAUCUAGAAUCCUGCAGAGAUGCGGGAGUGCCUUCGGGAAUUAGAAUACAGGUGCUGCAUGGCUGUCGUCAGCUCGUGUCGUGAGAUGUUGGGUUAAGUCCCGCAACGAGCGCAACCCUUGUCCUUAGUUACCAGCGGGUUAAGCCGGGAACUCUAAGGAUACUGCCAGUGACAAACUGGAGGAAGGCGGGGACGACGUCAAGUCAUCAUGGCCCUUACGACCAGGG